UACGAAGGGGGCUAGCGUUGCUCGGAAUCACUGGGCGUAAAGGGUGCGUAGGCGGCGCGGUAAGUCGGGUGUGAAAUCUCGGGCUUAACUCCGAAACUGCAUUCGAUACUGCCGUGCUUGAGGACUGGAGAGGAGACUGGAAUUUACGGUGUAGCAGUGAAAUGCGUAGAUAUCGUAAGGAAGACCAGUGGCGAAGGCGAGUCUCUGGACAGCAACUGACGCUGAGGCACGAAGGCCAGGGGAGCAAACGGG
rnacentral:rRNA from 1 species